UACGGGGGGCAAGCGUUUGUUCGGAAUUACUGGGCGUAAAGGGCUCGUAGGCGGCCAACUAAGUCGGAUGUGAAAUCCCCAGGCUCAACUUGGGAACUGCAUCCGAUACUGGAUGGCUUGAAUUCGGGAGAGGGAUGCAGAAUUCCAGGUGUAGCGGUGAAAUGCGUAGAUAUCUGGAGGAAUACCGGUGGCGAAGGCGGCAUCCUGGACCGACAUUGACGCUGAGGAGCGAAAGCUAGGGGAGCAAACGGG
rnacentral:rRNA from 1 species